AGUUUCAUCUAGUGAAAGAAAAUGGAAAAGGAAGGAAAAAAAAGAAAGCAAGACCCAUUGAGCUGUUGAAUAGGCCAAAAAAUGAAGUGUAUUACAAAGCACUUUCAUUGUCUUCAAAGGACAACCUUUGUCCUCUGCCGGUUCUGUUAUUGACCAGCUGCUUAGUUAACUGUGGUAUCCAUCUGCCAGCCCCGAAGUCUUCGUUGGGAAAGAGGGAAGGUGCUGACCCUUCCCAGGAAGCGAUGGUGACAGGAGCUUCAAUUUCCUGAUCUGAAUGGUGGAGGCAGUGCCUUCUGGGUUUUGCUGGAUUAAUUGUGCAGGCAAAGUGAGUAAGUGCAGACAGGACCCUGGGGACCUGCAAGCUGAAUAUUCCACGCCUUUUUCUUUACUGCCUUAAGCAAGAGGAGAGAAUUAACGAAGAGUAAGAUACGCAUGCUUAGAGAAUUAACCAUUAUGUACAGGGAUGUACUCCACCAAGACCUCUUGAACUGCUGGUAAUUCCCAGCAAACUUCAGAAAAGACCAUCAUGUUGUUCAUAUCUUUAUCUUCAGCCUCUAUCCAGCUUCUCUUACAGGAAUCAACAGAUUGCCCGGCAAGGACUAAGUUAUUAAAUAUCCCCAAAGUCUUUGGUGAGUUUAUGGACCUGUCAAAGACAAAUGUACCUUCUGCCAUUCCAGUCACCAGGAAUGUGUCUGAGUUUUAAUGCACUGUCCCAGUAAGUUACCUCCUGU
ensembl:lncRNA